AGCUUUGCGCAGUGGCGAUAUCGUAACCAAUGAGGUUUUACCGAGGUGCGAUUAUUGCUAGUUGAAAAAAAAUGAAAAUAUUCCGAAGAAAAUUAGGUAAGAAAUAAACGUUGAAUUUCCAUUAUCCACAAGUAAGUUG